rnacentral:rRNA from 1 species
AACGAACGCUGGCGGCAGGCCUAACACAUGCAAGUCGAACGCCCUAGCAAUAGGGAGGGGCAGACGGGUGAAUAACGCGUGGGAACGUGCCUUUCGGCUCGGAAUAACUCAGGGAAACUUGAGCUAAUACCGGAUACGCCCUUCGGGGGAAAGAUUUAUUGCCGAAAGAUCGGCCCGCGUCCGAUUAGCUAGUUGGUGAGUUAAAGGCUCACCAAGGCGACGAUCGGUAGCUGGUCUGAGAGGAUGAUCAGCCACACUGGGACUGAGACACGGCCCAGACUCCUACGGGAGGCAGCAGUGGGGAAUAUUGGACAAUGGGCGCAAGCCUGAUCCAGCCAUGCCGCGUGAGUGAUGAAGGCCCUAGGGUUGUAAAGCUCUUUCGCCAGGGACGAUAAUGACGGUACCUGGAUAAGAAGCCCCGGCUAACUUCGUGCCAGCCGCCGCCGUAA